rnacentral:rRNA from 1 species
UACAGAGGGUGCAAGCGUUGUCCGGAAUCACUGGGCGUAAAGGGCGCGUAGGCGGCCCGGUAAGUAGGGGGUGAAAUCUCACGGCUCAACUGUGAGGCUGCCUUCUAGACUGCCAGGCUCGAGCACAGUAGAGGCUGGUGGAAUUCCCGGUGUAGCGGUGGAAUGCGUAGAGAUCGGGAAGAACAUCUGUGGCGAAGGCGGUCAGCUGGGCUGUUGCUGACGCUGAUGCGCGACAGCGUGGGGAGCAAACAGG